UGGGGAAUAUUGCACAAUGGAGGGAACUCUGAUGCAGCGACGCCGCGUGAACGAAGAAGGCUUUCUAGUCGUAAAGUUCUUUUAUAUGGGAAGAUAAUGACGGUACCAUAAGAAAAAGCCCCGGCUAACUACGUGCCAGCAGCCGCGGUAAUACGUAGGGGGCUAGCGUUGUCCGGAAUCACUGGGCGUAAAGGGUUCGCAGGCGGAAAUGCAAGUCAGGUGUAAAAGGCAGUAGCUUAACUACUGUAAGCAUUUGAAACUGCAUAUCUUGAGAAGAGUAGAGGUAAGUGGAAUUUUUAGUGUAGCGGUGAAAUGCGUAGAUAUUAAAAAGAAUACCGGUGGCGAAGGCGACUUACUGGGCUCAUUCUGACGCUGAGGAACGAAAGCGUGGGUAGCAAACAGG
rnacentral:rRNA from 2 species